AAUCAACGCUGGCGGCGUGCCUCAGACAUGCAAGUCGAACGAUUAAAGCUCUCUUCGGAGAGUGCAUAAAGUGGCGCACGGGUGAGUAACACGUAAGUAAUCUACCUUCGAGUGGGGAAGUAACGUCCGGAACGGACGCUAAUACCGCAUAACGCAGCGGCAUCGCAAGAUGACAGUUGUUAAGAUUAUCGCUUGAAGAGGAGCUUGCGGCAGAUAGUCUUGUUGGUAAGGUAACGGCUUACCAAGGCUACGAUCUGUAUCCGGUCUAAGAGGACGGUCGGACACACUGACACUGAAUAACGGGUCAGACUCCUACGGGA
rnacentral:rRNA from 1 species